rnacentral:siRNA from 1 species
AUCUCCUUCAAAGCAAACCCGUUU